UUCAGUGUACUUAAUUCUCAUCCUGUGCCAGCAAAUGCUGGUUUUGAGGUCACUGCAUAUACAGCAUUUUAUAUUUGUCCUUUAAGCUUGCCCUUUAACCACUGAAAACAGCGGAGUUUUCAGAUGGUUCUUGAGUAGAAAUCAGCAAGAUGAAGAGAGAUGACGUCAAAGAGGUGAAGUUGGUUGUGUGGGAAGCCACAGGACAUGAAAUCAAGGACACGGCAGAGAUGGGCUGCCCACACCGGGUAAUCAGAUUGACUUUCUAAUUACAGGUAGCAGCAAGACUCAAACUGCCUUUGAAGAACUACGGGAGAAAUCAAGAUUCAUUCUUGGUAUUUAGUGUGUGCUCCUGGAGGCCAUUUCAAGGCAAAUGACACGAGGCUCCCAUCACCCAGAGACCUCCAUGCAGGAAGCUCUGUGCCUCCACUGGGCUCUCCACUGUUCACGUUAGCAAAACCUAUUCCACUCCUGAGGAAUAUGACUCUCGAUCCAGCACCCUACGGCAGGAAAGGAGAAAACACAGUUGGAUGUGAUCUAUGAACGUCCUAGAGCUACAUAUGCAUCUAUUACAACAAAGAAAAUAACAAUGAUUACACCCAUAAUGUUGAGAUAAAGCAGAUUAGUUCAUAACAACAUAAAGUGUGGUUCUGGAAGCACUGAAAGCACCAAGAAUCUGCUGAAGGUAACACGGUUCUGCAGCCAGGUCUGAAACAACAUUUCUCCUCAAGUCUCUUUGAAAGCUGAAUUCUGCACUGCAGAAAGAAGUGAUGUUUUGGAACUGGUCCCAUUGCAUCGUUAGGCUGUUUCCCCACCUCUUGUCUGUCUGUGUAUUUUCUUUCCUAGCCUGCUGCUCCAUUUAAUAUGACAUAUGGAUCCACAGCUUCCCUGGUAGCACAGGCAGUGCGGUUUUCCAUUAUGGGCAGGAAUUCAAAUGAGAAGCCAGGUGCUGUAUUUCAAGCCAUAAUUAAUAUAAAAUAAAAAAACAAAAAUAUCUCCCCAUCUCUGUUCUUAGGUUGGAUUAACAUCUCACAGAGCUGUAACUCAGUCCUGGCAGCAGAAACAGGAGGAAACACAGCCCGCACAUUCUUGCACCAUCUGCUGGUAGCAUCUCCAUUGACAGACACACCUAGAAGAGAUUUUAUAAUUCCUCGCAAACCUGGAGGGAUACAUCCACAUCUAGAGACAUGAGACCACCAUUAUAAAGAUUCAGGAUACAGGUGAGGGUUUGUUUAAACUACAAACAGUUGGUUCUCCAUAGUGGAGCCAUUUCUGCCAGGUUUUUAAGGAACUCCAUAGCAAGGCCUCUAUGACCCCAGCGUAGCCACGUCAAGAAGGGAUUUACAGAGCCU